rnacentral:rRNA from 1 species
GACGAACGCUGGCGGCGUGCUUAACACAUGCAAGUCGAACGAAGAGCGAUGGAAGCUUGCUUCUAUCAAUCUUAGUGGCGAACGGGUGAGUAACGCGGAAUCAACCUGCCCUUCAGAGGGGGACAACAGUUGGAAACGACUGCUAAUACCGCAUACGAUCUAACCUCGGCAUCGAGGAAAGAUGAACGGGGGCCUCUAUGUCUAAGCUAUCACUGAAGGAGGGGAUUGCGUCUGAUUACCUCGUUGGGGGGGUAAAGGCCCACCAAGGCCAUAAUGAGUAGCCGGCCUGGGAGCAUGAUCGUCCACCAUAGGACUGAGACACGGCCCACACUCCUCCAGGACGCAGCCAUGGGGAAUCAUCCGCAAUGGACGCAAGUCCGACGGAACAACGCCGCAUGAGUAGUGACGGCCUUCGGGUUGUAAAGCUCUGUUAAUCGGGACGAAAGGCCUUCUUGCGAAUAGUGAGAAGCAUUGACGUCACCGGAAUAGAAUGCCACGGCUAACUACGUG